rnacentral:rRNA from 1 species
ACGGAAGGCAGCAGUGGGGGAUAUUGCACAAUGGGGGAAACCCUGAUGCAGCGACGCCGCGUGAGUGAUGAAGUAUUUCGGUAUGUAAAGCUCUAUCAGCAGGGAAGAAAAUGACGGUACCUGACUAAGAAGCACCGGCUAAAUACGUGCCAGCAGCCGCGGUAAUACGUAUGGUGCAAGCGUUAUCCGGAUUUACUGGGUGUAAAGGGAGCGUAGACGGCAUAGCAAGCCAGAUGUGAAAGGUGGGGGCUCAACCCCCAAGCUGCAUUUGGAACUGUUAAGCUAGAGUAUCAGAGAGGUAAGUGGAAUUCCUAGUGUAGCGGUGAAAUGCGUAGAUAUUAGGAGGAACACCAGUGGCGAAGGCGGCUUACUGGACGAUAACUGACGUUGAGGCUCGAAAGCGUGGGGAGCAAACAGGAUUAGAUACCCUGGUA